UGAUGAAUAUUGGACAAUGGGCGCAAGCCUGAUCCAGCCAUGCCGCGUGCAGGAAGAAGCAUCUAUGGUGUGUAAACUGCUUUUGUACGGGAAGAAACACUCCUACGUGUAGGAGCUUGACGGUACCGUAAGAAUAAGGAUCGGCUAACUCCGUGCCAGCAGCCGCGGUAAUACGGAGGAUCCAAGCGUUAUCCGGAAUCAUUGGGUUUAAAGGGUCCGUAGGCGGUUUAAUAAGUCAGUGGUGAAAGCCCAUCGCUCGACGAUGGAACGGCCAUUGAUACUGCUAGGAUUGAAUUAUUAGGAAGGAACUAGAAUAUGUAGUGUAGCGGUGAAAUGCUUAGAUAUUACAUGGAAUACCAAUUGCGAAGGCAGGUUAAUACUAAUGGAUUGACGCUGAUGGACGAGAGCGGGGGGAGAAAACA
rnacentral:rRNA from 1 species